GAGCCUGCCUGCUGGGACGCAGAGGAGGAGGGUUCCGGCCCCUCCUGUCCCGUGUCAGGUCUGUAGCACACAAACUGCCUGCCCAGGGUCCUCAAAUCAGCUGUCUUCACUCUGACCUGCAGGUCUCGGCACCUGCAUGCUGCAAGCUGGGUGCCUUCCUUCUACAGAACCCACGCCCCCUUGCAAGGAAACCAUGGAAUUUCCCCAGCAAGGAGUCUUCAACAACUCCAGGCCACAGGAAGGUCACAAAUGGUCAGAAAAGGAAUGAAUUUGAGGAAGGACCAGCCCUGCCCAUGUUGUCUGGGGCCCCUCCCAAGGGGACAGGAAAGCUCCACAAACAGGACCUGGAGCAUCCAGGGAGCGUCUGGGCUGCAGAAGCCCGCUGUGCAAAUGUGGGAACUGAGGUAGCUUGUCUAAGCUAGCCCAGAGGCUGAUCCACAUCAAGCCCAGUCAUAGCUGCUGCUCCUGCCCUGUACUGCCAGUUGAC
rnacentral:antisense_RNA from 1 species